rnacentral:lncRNA from 1 species
AGAAAUCCGAAAAUCUGGGAACGGGGAUUAAGAUUAACAAGUUAUCAAUUUUUUUUUUUUUUUUUUUUUCUCUAAAAUUUGGGUUCGGGGAACAAACAGAAUCUCUUUAUCACAUGUGAAAUCUGGUGGAUCUAUGUCGAAUUGGUAGGUCCAUGUAUCCAUGUAUCAAUCAAAUAAGUUUCGUUCCGUUCUGAUGGGGUCAGAUCAAUUUAAGUCAAUUCCAUUAGGGUCGGUCUUGAAACACUUCAUUUCAUUGAUAUUUAUCAAAUCCAAUAUCAAUAAACCCGGGUUAACCGAUACUUAUACUUAUUACUUAUUAAGUAAAU